GAGGGGAGGGGGCGCCGCCGCGAGCUGGGCUGGAGGGCGCGAGCUGCCCCUCCCCGGGCCGGCCGGCCCCGCCCCGCCCCCAGGCGCCCUCUAAGGGGUCGACGCAGCCCCCGGGCAACGCCCGGAUGUCGACGGCGCCGCCUCGCUCCGGUCGCUCUGGCUGUUUGAGCUCCUCUGCCCCUGCCUCGGCCCACCCAUUACACCUCCUUGGCCGGCUGUUGGGGUUUGGGCUCAGAGUUCUUACCUCCGUGACUGCCUCCUGUUCUGACACCCACCCCACCUGGUAGACAUCCUCACUAGGCAUUCAGCUCUAGAACUUAACCUGAACUUCGGCCCCCUGCCUCCCGGUUCAACAAACACACACUUACCAUCCUGGCAGAGUGAACCUACAAGAUGUAAUUAUUCCAGGGAAAAUGACCUUCUGUUCUAGAAGCAUAUUGUUGGACGUCUGCUCUAAUCAUAGACGCGGGGGCUGGGUCCACGUCUUGUGUGCCACCAGGUCAGUGGUAGAUGCUCCUUAGAGAGCUACAGCAUCUGCAUAUAUAAACUUUCAGAGAACUACGUGUGCUUUCAACACUUGAGGUUCACAUGCUUUCAGCAAGUUCUGGAGGCUGGAAGUUCUCCCUCCCUGACUUGUAGAUGACCACCCUCUUGCUGCCUAUUCGCAUGGUCUUUUUUCUAGACAGCCAGGGAGAGAGGGAACACAAGCAGUGGGAGUGGGAGAGGAAGAAGC